UCUCUGGUAGUAUAGUGGUGAGUAUCCGCGCCUGUCACGUGCGAGACCGGGGUUCGAUUCCCCGCCAGAGAG
rfam:Parastrongyloides trichosuri strain KNP genome assembly, scaffold: PTRK_scaffold0000010